UACGUAGGGUGCGAGCGUUAAUCGGAAUUACUGGGCGUAAAGCGUGCGUAGGCGGUUUCGCAAGUCCGCUGUGAAAGCCCCGGGCUUAACCUGGGAAUUGCAUUUCAAACUGGCGAACUAGAGUGCGGUAGAGGGAGGUAGAAUUUCCUGUGUAGCGGUGAAAUGCGUAGAUAUAGGAAGGAAUACCAGUGGCGAAGGCGGCCUCCUGGAUCGACACUGACGCUAAGGCGCGAAAGCGUGGGGAGCAAACAGG
rnacentral:rRNA from 1 species